rnacentral:misc_RNA from 1 species
GGUUGCAAGGGUAAGGGCAAUCGAUCUUCCGGAAGUUGGCUCGAUCGUAAAACCAGUCUCCAACUGCCUUACCGAUUUUUGUAUUGGCCACUACUGGAGACUUAUCUGCUAACCAGACAGUAGCUGAUCCAGAUUGGCAGUGUGCAUAGCAAGAAUCUAUGAAAUAUCCAUUUGAAGGAUUGCUGCCAGCUCCAGUGUUCAAUGCACUUAAGAAUUGCAACCUGUAAUCUUG